ACCCAGCUGGCUCAGCUGGUGGAGCUUGUGACUCUUGAUCUUGGGAUCAUGAGUUUGUGCCCCAUGUUGGGUG
rnacentral:tRNA from 1 species